UGGAUUUAGCAAUCCUAUUACUGAGCUAAAAUUUAGGACUCUUUAGACACAUUUGUCCUGGAAACAGCACUGGUAAACUAUAAGCUCUGAUAGGUGGGAGGAUGAGGACAGUGUCUAAACAAGGAGAAAAGUAACAGACGUUCUUCCAUUUCUAUUAAGUGUGUUUGCAUAUUUUCAGCACAUUCAACAAAUGAAUAGUUCUGUGCUUGGACAAAAUUAGUGGUUAAAGAGGAGCAAAAUGCACCAAGUAUGGUGUGUGGGAUAUUGCAGUGCUAUUAUGCAAAUUGGUGCUAUGUCUUCAGCAGGAGUUUUCAGUUCAAUUUAGAUAUACUCCAAAGGAGGAGAAGACUAUGUUUUAGUCAGAUCACUGGGAUGAGACAUAGAAAAACUCCCACAUAAGGGAAGAUUAAAACAUAGGUGAAAAGAUGAAGAAGGGAUGGAAAAUGUACCUUACACCAUGUAAGGUAGAGUGCAGAUGUGACCACUAAUCACUGAGAACUUUUUGUGAAACAAGGAGAAAGGAGAGCUAAGUGGAGAGGGAAAUAACUGGUAAAAUGAUGGUUUGUGCUAUGACAAAAGGAGCCAGUGCUUUAAGGUUUUUUGGAGUACAGAAGCACAAUUUUAAGUAAGGGUGGAAAUGUCUGUGUUAAUUCUAGUGUAAUUACUAUAGUUGGAAAUUCACUUUCAAUUUAAACUCUUGCAUUCUGUAAAGCAGAGCCCUGCCAUAUUCCAGAACAGAAGUCAAAUUUGAAUUCUGAGAACCUGUCAAGAAAUGCUCAUGGGAGACAAAUGAUCACAUAAACGUCAAAGGCAUCAUUUCUUAAAUCUUUCUGCUCUGGACAUUGCUAGCAGUCAUGUCUCAGCAAUACCUUUUGGGCUGAAUGUGGAUCUACACAAGAUUAUGUUCAUUAUGUGCUGAAGACUGUAUUUUUCACAGUAUUCCUCUCCUUACCACAGAGAGUGCUGGUCCAGAAGAAUCUCACAUCUCAGGACAUUGUCAUGAGCAAAAAAGAAGCCCCUAUCACAUUUGGCAUCACAGUGAUCCUACUGUCUGGCAUCUCCAGUGUUUCCAAGAU
rnacentral:lncRNA from 1 species